rnacentral:sRNA from 1 species
UUUAUUCAGAUAAAAUUAUUUAUGCAGAAAGUUUUAUGAGCGGCGGCUGUUUUACCUCUGGAGGUGAGGUCCUAUGGAUCAAAAUCUGAUAGAAAGGGUUCAGCUCAAUGAGCGUAUUCGAAUCUAUUUCGUUGAUGCUUUUGUUUGGGACUUUUGUGUUAGCUCUGCUGACAUAUAUA